AAACUAGGAGAUCAGAUCAAAUAAAGACGGAGACAGAACAGAACUGAAUCAAAUUACACUACCCAAAACCAUGAACCUGACAUUACGCUAUUUUACAUUUGGCUGUUGACACCAUGGGGACGAUGGACAGAGAUGGAGCUGCUGGAGGUGGUGACCCUGGUGGAGCUGACGAACCGAUGAGCCCAUGCGACGUUGUUGGUUCUGGAGAUGUAGAACUGAACAAGUUGAGCGAAUUGAACUGAACCCAUGUGCAAUUUAUUUAGAUCCCAACAUGAACAAAAUACAAAGUAAACAAUGACUAGACUUGAACUAAACAUGAACAGAACUCACCAUCAGCGGUACAGGGAACAAAGCUAGACAAGAGACAAUGGAAUCAUAAGGGCUAUUUAUACAGAGAGACUAAUGACUAACAAGGAACACCUGUGCAUAAUCAAACAAUGAACCAAUGAGAACAUGACACAUGGACAAGAGAGGCACAUGCCAAACAGGAAACAUGACUUAAGAUAAAAUUACAAAAUAAAAGACAUGAAAAUAUAAAAGUGAACCACAACCCAAAACAGACGUGACAACUGAGGUGGAGCUGCAGUGACGAGCAUCCAAGGUGGAGCCGUGAAGCCAGAGAACUGAGGUGGAGCCGGUGGGACUGAGGACCAAGGCAGACCUUUUUCCUUCUUUCCUUCCUCUUUUAUACAGUUUGUUCUUGUCUGUCUAUCUUGCGACCUGUUUUAGAUAUGUGCUUCCAAAUUCCCACUAUUACUAACACUCGUAAAUCGCGUGCCACAUGUUGGAGGCAGUGCAAUCAUAACAACCUGCGUAUUUUACCCAUGUCAUCUAGUACAUUACUUUCUAUUCCUAUUUGUCUCUGGAAUUGUCAUUCUGCUGUUAACAAAGCAGACUUUACUACAUCUAUUGCUACUCAUUCAGGUCUCCAUCUCAUGGCUCUGACUGAGACAUGGAUCAAACCAGAGGACACUGCCACACCGGCAGCCCUCUCCUCUAAUUUCACUUUCUCUCACACCCCAUGCCAGAUUGGGAGGGGUGGUGGUACUGGUCUGCUGAUGCCCAAUGAAUGGAAGUUCAAUCCUUUACCAUCUCUCUAUGACAAUAGCUCAUUUGAAUCACAUGCAAUUACCAUCAUCUACCCUGCUAAAAUCCAUGUUGUAGUGCUUUAUCUUUCCCCAGGUCAGCUAGGUAACUUCUUGGAGGAGUUAGAUGUGUUACUCUCGCCCUUCCCUGAGGAUGGUACUCCUCUGCUAGUACUUGGAGAUUUCAACAUCCAUCUAGACAAACCUCAGGCUGCUGACUUCCACACUCUGCUUGCGUCUUUUGAUAUCAAGCGAGUGUCUACUACAGCUACCCACAAAUCAGAACAACCUCCUUGACAACAACCAGUCUGGCUUCAAGAGUGGCCACUCAACUGAGACUGCCCUGCUCUCAGUUACUGAAGCCACGAGCAACUUCAAAAUCAUCAGUACUCAUCUUGCUGGAUCUGUCUGCUGCUUUUGACACAGUUAACCACAAGAUCCUCCUGUCAACCCUCAUGUCAAAGGGCAUCUCAGGAACCGCACUCCAGUGGUUCAGUCUUACCUCUCAGAUGAUCCGACGGUUGCUGGUCACAUCGCAGCCUGCCUGACAGCCAUUUCUGCCUGGAUGAAGGACCAAAACUGGGACUUGACAUGACACUUACAUACUGUUGCACUCAUGUUGAUUUGAUUGCUUCUACUAUUCUCAUUUGUAAGUCGCUUUGGAGAAGAGCGUCUGCUAAAUAACUAAAUGUAAAUGUAAAUGUAAAUGAUAAACAUG